CUGAAAUAGCAUGAAUUUCGAUCCCCCCAUUCCAAACGGACAAUCAGGUCUUUACCGCGAGUAACACUAGCAGAGGCGAGAUAAUAAUUUUUCAGAGAACCAUAGUGGUAUUUCAGCGCUUCAAGUGUAUACAUCUGCUCCAAAUUCAUCGUAUUAUCCUUUACAGCAUGGUUGUUUUUAUUGACUAAUUUUAGCAACUUAUUCUGUAAGUUUUGCAAUAGUUUUGUGCUAUUUUUACAAGCUCCACCCCAUGCUACAAUUCCAUAACUGACAAUGAUAUGGAAAAAAGCAUAGUAUAUCAUUUGCAGAGACAUGGUUGGCAUCAUUUUGGCAAUUCUAUAAAAAAUAAAGACUAGGUAUUUCGUC